ensembl:misc_RNA Metazoa_SRP Metazoan signal recognition particle RNA
GCCGGGCAUGGUGGUGCAUGCCUGUAGUCCUAGCUACUCAGGAGGCUGAAGCAGGAGCAUCACUUGAACCCAGGAGGUCAAGGCUGCAGUGAGCUAUGACUGCACCAUUGCACUCUAGCCUGGGCUACAGAGCCAGAUCCUGUCUCUU